GGACGGGUCUUGUGCAAUUCGCUCCCGUGAACCCUGUCAGGUCCGGAAGGAAGCAGCAGUAAGCGGAUCUGUGUUUGUGCCGCAAGGGUGCCUGCCCGAC
rnacentral:SRP_RNA from 1 species